UACGUGCAUGUCAUCUUUCAGUAUAGUAGAAACUUCAUCAGUUGUAGGUGAUCUCAUGAAAUGCUACUUUUGACUAUGACUCUUACGACUGUAGCAGUGAGGGUUCUCUAUCGUGCCAUCAGUCUACCGCCACACGGGACCUUCGUCCGAAAGAUUCGCGAUUUUCACUUCUGAUGUUGGAUGCUUGGCAAAGGAGCAGUAAACUGGUACAACGUCGACAUGAUGCAAGAUAUAUAUAUAUAUCUAUGAAGACGAUGAUAUACAAGAACAUUUAUUAUCGAAGUGAAAUUUUAAGUUUUGCGUUAACGCUUUUUUUCCCUUCAAAAUUUUGUUUUAUUUUCUUACAUAAAAAAGUGUAACCACUCAUUCAUUGUAAUUACUCCAAAAUUAUGUGUAGGCAUCUGUCUCUUUGCCUAUAUGCUCGUUCCUGCCACCUCCCCCAUUAGGUUACAUCGUUUUCAAUAAACUGAUCGCGUCACGCAGAUUUAAACGUAAUUUGAAUCGUCAAAAAGUAAAAAAGUACAUGUUUUAGCCACCAAAACCCCCCCCUAAA